GUAUGAUCCCCAAUUAGAGACAACAAUUACCAGCUGCCUCUAAUUGGGAAUCAUACCAAAUUAACCAAACAUAGAAAAACUAAACUAGAACCCCACAUAGAAAAUAAUAACUAGGAAAACCCCCCUGACCUACUCUAACAUAGAAAAUAAGAGCUUUCUAUGGUCAGGACGUGACAGCAUCAAAGUGGAUGGUGAUUGAUGGCUGCGACAGUGUGGGCCAAGAGGUGUAUUUGUAUGGGUUCAAAGUGGUACAUGUAUGACAUUUUUCCUUUUCAAGACUGGGAUGAAAGCAACGUUCUUCGACAUAGGCAACCCAUGUUUUGUGCUUGGCUGGUGGAAUAGGCCUUUAUACUGGUGAAUUGUGGGACAUUUGAAAGAGGACAUUGACGUUGAUUAAUUUGAGACCUUUCCAUUGAAUGAACUUUGGAUGUUAUGACAGGUAUUAUAGGGAGUAAUACAGUAACACUUCUCUCCGAGGCCGCACAGGAUAAAACCAUUGUAGGCAGCACAGGAUCAAACUCUUCUAGGCAACACAAGAUCAAACUAUUCUAGGCAACACAGGAUCAAACUCUUUUAGGCAACACAGGAUCAAACCCUUCUAAGCAACACAGGAUCAAACUCUUCUAGGCAACACAGGAUCAAACCCUUCUAAGCAACACAGGAUCAAACCCUUCUUGGCAACAUAGGAUCAAACCCUUCUAGGCAACACAGGAUCAAACUCUUCUAGGCAACACAGGAUCAAACCCUUCUAGGCAACACAGGAUCAAACUAUUCUAGGCAACACAGGAUCAAACCCUUCUAAGCAACACAGGAUCAAACCCUUCUUGGCAACACAGGAUCAAACCCUUCUAGGCAACACAGGAUCAAACUCUUCUAGGCAACACAGGAUCAAACCCUUCUAGGCAACACAGGAUCAAACUCUUCUAGGCAACACAGGAUCAAACCCUUCUAAGCAACACAGGAUCAAACCCUUCUAGGCAACACAGGAUCAAACUCUUUUAGGCAACACAGGAUCAAACUCUUUUAGGCAACACAGGAUCAAACCCUUCUAGGCAACACAGGAUCAAACUCUUCUAGGCAACAUAGGAUCAAACCCUUCUAGGCAACACAGGAUCAAACCCUUCUAGGCAACACAGGAUCAAACUCGUUCAGGCAGCACACUUUUCCAAGCAGCAAAGUAUUCCUUAGAGUGAGACUAAAUGGUGUAGACGGCCCCAGUACCAAUACUGAUCAAGAUGAGAUCAAUGUUAUUACUUGAAAUGCUAAUUUCUUGAAAGCAUGAUUGGGUUUGAAUGUAUCUCAGUAAAAUGUCUUCAUAAUAAUACUAACACUGCCAGAUGCCAAUACUGUCAGAGAAUACAUUUCAGAAAAAAGUAGCCGCAUGUAUUGUAUGCAAAAGCUCUUUUCAGAACUCUCCUCCAGGUAUUGCACUCAGACUCGAGGGUUUACAGCCAGCCAUCCUAUAUGUUCCUAUUGUAGCACUGUUUCUCUUACUCUAAACAGCAUCUAUUUCCUAAAUGGUUCAGGGUGAUGGCACUGCGUCACAGACCUUAUCUAUUGAUACAUAGAGCAAUACAUUCUGCCGCUGCCAAUGUGUCACCCAGCAGCUGUAAUCUCUGGCAAGAUUCCAUUAGAGAGCCUGACCAACAUUCAUUGAAACCAACGUCGCCUAAGGGGCAUUGUGAAAGCUGUCUUCUCCAUCCUUUAUAUCAACCUCCACCUGUCAAUAAGCCUUGGUCACUAGAUCAAGGUCCACAUGUAGCUGCCUCCUUCCAGAUAGUACAGAUUGGCUCCAGUACGACAUUAGAGUUUACAAGAUACCAUGGCUGUGUCCGAAAUGGCACCCAAUCCCUAUAUAAUGCACUACUUUUGACCAGGGUCCAUAGGGCUAUUGUCAAAAGUAGUGCACUAUGUAGGGUAGUGGUUCCCAACUCCAGUCCUCCAGUACCCCCAACAGCACACAUUUUUGUUGUAGCCCGGAUAAAAAACACCUGAUUCAACUCAUUGAGGGACUGAUGAUUAGUUGAAAAGAUUAAUCUGGUGUGCUUGUCAGACUACAAUAAAAAUGUGUACUAUUGAGUGCAGGCCCGACACCAUGAGGGGGCUAAAGUUCAAACUUUAUCUUGCACAGUUUUAGGUCCCUAUAUUAAAAUAGCAAAAAAAGAAUUAAUGAUUGAUUGACAGGUUGGCGCCCCAAAAUCUGUAUCUCUGCUGCACUGUGUAGCUGUGUGUACGCAGCCUUGGCUGAUAGACUAGACGUAACAUUGUAAAUGUAAAUCUGGGACACUCAAAUCAGUAUGAUAUGUUACGUUUAGUUCGGUUGCAUAAGACAGAAGCUACAAAGUUGCAAUAUGCUGAAAUCGCUCCUCCAUUUCUUGGUUGCUAAAAUUCGAAUAGUUUGCUUAAUUUCAGUUUAUGUGACAAAACAAGCAGUCAUAGUGUAGAGAAUCAUUGUACUAUCUAAACUGCUGUGAAAUAUAUUUUCCAUAACCACAACUAUUGUAUUUUCAGCUGUUUGAAGCUGGUGUACAAAACCAAAGGUAAAAGAUGCAGAAACUAAACUUAAGAAUGGGAUGCAUAGAAAUAGUGCACAUUCUUAGACUUGCUUUCAAUGAGAAUGACAGAUCUAUAUCUCAACAUUUCUAUGUGACUUUGGGUCAGAUCACCCAAAAAAUGACAUAUUGCAGGGUUAAGAUAAAAACAUAUUGUACGAUUUGCUAAUUCAUAACAUAUCAUACGAAUUGUAAUUCGUAACAUAUCAUAUGAAAAUGGAUGAUGGACAUUCUCAAAUUAAUACAUACCAUACGAAACGUAACAUAUGGAAUGUCUAGGCUUUACGUACAGACUAACACAAAAUGCUCUGAGACCAGGUUGCAGCAGGGAGCCUAUGGAAAGCCACUGGGCGGUUAGGUAUGACUCCUUUGGGUUUCCAUAAAAAGCGGAAAAAAGGCUUCUGAUCUCUCAUCGCUGAAGUAGGUUAAGUAAAUAGCGUGAUACGCCUUCACCUGUAAUAUUUAAUUUUGAUUUAAAAGGGCAGGGUCAAGUUUACUUUUUUUACCUUUAUUUAACUAGGCAAGUCAGUUAAGAACAAAUUCUUGUUUACAAUGACGGCUUACCCCAGCCAAACCUGGACGACGCUGAGCCAAUUGUGCGCCACCCUACGGGACUCUCAAUCACGGCCGGAUGUGAUACAGCCUGGAUUCAAACCAGUGAUGCCUCUUGCACUGAGAUGCAAUGCCUUAGACCACUGCGCCACAGUUGAAGCUGCUUCACUCUUAGCUACAGCUGUAAAAAGCGUUAGUGUUAUUAUCCUUAGCCUAUUUAGCUAGCUCAAACCAGCUAAUCUGCCACGAUUGAUAUCAAAAAUUGGCAUUGACAAAGUACCAGAACAAAGGAGAAGGAAAGCGAUGAGCAGCAGCAUCAAACCACUGAGGCCGCCGCCAAGCCCAACAGCUAUGAUGCUCCCGAGCUCCAGCUAGCUCUGUGUGCAGAACCUACCCACCCUUCCACAAGCGUCAACAUAAUGCUAAUGGCUCCAUAGCCGCCUCCACCUCCGAGUGAUCCUGAUGAUCUUGGAACAAAAGAGCCAGCCCAGGUUAGCCUAGAAUCCUAUCCUAGCCGCAGGUUUUCUGUCCAAAAACCUUCAUUUAAUAGCAACUGGUUCAUAGGAAGAAAGUGGCUGGAAUACUCGUUUACUGCAGAUGCUGCAUUUUGUUUCCCAUGUCGAAAGUUCUGUAUUGGAUCCAAUGGUAACGUAGACAAGGCCUUCACCCAAGCUGGGUAUUCUAAGUGGAAGAAUGCUAUUGAUAGGACCAAAGGACAUGCUAGGCACGCAUCAAGCAAAGAGCAUUUGAAAUGCCCUGCACUGUGGAAAUAAAAACUAGUUUGAAGUGCAAUGGGAACUUCGGUGUCAACACUUGCAUGUAUUUGUCAUCGAUUGUGGACAUUAUUGAGUUCCUUUUGGGUCGUUCACAGAUACAUGAACACCCCAAAAGGAGCUAAUUUCCCACUUUGACAAACUGUGUUCAGUCAGCACAGAAGAAGCAUGCUUCACCUGAGGAAAGCUCAAUUAAUCCAACUGGCAUUUGAGGAGAAUCUUACAAGAAGAUUCCGGAGAGAAUGGAGAUUGGAGAAUGGAAUGAUCGAUUACUCAGGAAGUUUUACAGAGCAAUCAAGGCAUCUGC
rnacentral:lncRNA from 1 species